CAAAAUGGCGCUAGCUCGGAAGCUGCCGAGGUGCUAGGAGUUGCCGAAGCAAGUCCGGAAGCUACCGACCGAGUCCGGAAGUUGCCGAAAGGGAGCAGCGGGGAAGGAGGAUGGCGGAUAUCAUCGCAAGACUCCGGGAGGACGGGAUCCAAAAACGUGUGAUACAGGAAGGCCGAGGAGAGCUCCCGGACUUUCAGGAUGGGACCAAGGCCACGUUCCACUACCGGACGCUGCACAGUGACGACGAGGGCACCGUGCUGGACGACAGCCGGGCUCGUGGCAAGCCCAUGGAGCUCAUCAUUGGCAAGAAGUUCAAGCUGCCCGUGUGGGAGACCAUCGUGUGCACCAUGCGAGAAGGGGAGAUUGCCCAGUUCCUCUGUGACAUCAAGCAUGUGGUCCUGUACCCGCUGGUGGCCAAGAGUCUCCGCAACAUCGCGGUGGGCAAGGACCCCCUGGAGGGCCAGCGGCACUGCUGCGGUGUUGCACAGAUGCGUGAACACAGCUCCCUGGGCCAUGCUGACCUGGACGCCCUGCAGCAGAACCCCCAGCCCCUCAUCUUCCACAUGGAGAUGCUGAAGGUGAGGGGCCACCGCGCCUGGUCUCACCAGGCCCCCACUGCCCAGCCUCAGGGCGGCGCUGGCCUGUCCAUCCAGGGGUGGUGGGAUCCGCAGGUGGACUGCUGGGGGAGCGGACAGGGACAAGAAAACCUGUGCAGGACCCUUGGCAGUACCCUGGGUCUCCUUUCCUCCUCCUUCACAUCUCAAAUGUCACCUCCUCCAGGAAACCGGCCCUGUCCACCCG
rnacentral:sRNA from 1 species